UACGUAGGUGGCAAGCGUUGUCCGGAUUUAUUGGGUUUAAAGGGUGCGUAGGCGGCUUAUUAAGUCAGUGGUGAAAUACUCUAGCUCAACUAGAGGGGUGCCAUUGAUACUGAUGAGCUUGAGUACAGAUGAGGUAGGCGGAAUUGACGGUGUAGCGGUGAAAUGCUUAGAUAUCGUCAAGAACACCUAUAGCGAAGGCAGCUUACUAGGCUGUAACUGACGCUGAGGCACGAAAGCGUGGGGAUCGAACAGG
rnacentral:rRNA from 1 species